UCCUCCCCUAUUCGGCCUGCUGCCUCCCACUACGAGCCUAGAGACUAAGCUAUAUAGCAACGUAGCGUAGCUACAUACAGUGUGUGUAUAUAUAUAUAUAUAUAUAUAGCUCUGUACACAAGUCUGAAUUGAACUACACAGCUCUCCUUUCACUGUGUAAACUCAUCUCAACUCUAACUGAUGUGCUGAUAAGAGUAGAUGUUUAAUGUCAGUCGGAUUUGAUUAAGGGUUAAGUAUAUCAGUGUUUGGUAAAUAAGAAUUACAGUCUCUAGAAGCUUAUUCAUGACAUCCUCUGUAGCUCAAUUGGCAGAGCCUGGUGCUUGUUACUGCAAGAUAGUGGGUUCAAUUCCUGAGACCAUCCAUACAUAAAAUGUAUGCCAGCAUGACUUAAGUCGCGUCGGGCUAAAAGCCUCUGCUAAAUGGCAUGUAUUAUUAUAUUGCAUUGUUUACAUAUUACAUUGUAAACUUUCUGUUAUGGUGUGUUGUUGUACAGUGAUGUCAUGUUGGGUUAGAUAGGAGAUAUUGUCUCCUUCUUGUACAGUGAUGUUAGUUAGGAGGACGUAUUGUCUCCUUGUUGUGCAGUGAUGUUAGAUAGGAGGAGGUAUCAUCUCGUUGUACAGUGAUGUUAGAUAGGAGGACGUAUUGUCUCCUUGUUGUGCAGUGAUGUUAGAUAGGAGGAGGUAUCGUCUCCUUGUUGUGCAGUGAUGUUAGAUAGGAGGAGGUAUCAUCUCCUUGUUGUACAGUGAUGUUAGAUAGGAGGACGUAUCGUCUCCUUGUUGUGCAGUGAUGUUAGAUAGGAGGAGGUAUCGUCUCCUUGUUGUACAGUGAUGUUAGAUAGGAGGAGGUAUCGUCUCCUUGUUGUGCAGUGAUGUUAGAUAGGAGGAGGUAUCGUCUCCUUGUUGUACAGUGAUGUUAGAUAGGAGGAGGUAUCGUCUCCUUGUUGUACAGUGAUGUUAGAUAGGAGGAGGUAUCGUCUCCUUGUUGUGCAGUGAUGUUAGAUAGGAGGAGGUAUCGUCUCCUUGUUGUGCAGUGAUGUUAGAUAGGAGGAGGUAUCGUCUCCUUGUUGUGCAGUGAUGUUAGAUGGGAGGAGUUAUCGUCUCCUUGUUGUACAGUGAUGUUAGUUAGGAGGAGGUAUCGUCUCCUUGUUGUACAGUGAUGUUAGUUUGGAGGAGGUAUCGUCUCCUUGUUGUACAGUGAUGUUAGUUUGGAGGAGGUAUCGUCUCCUUGUUGUACAGUGAUGUUAGUUGGGAGGAGUUAUCGUCUCCUUGUUGUACAGUGAUGUUAGUUUGGAGGAGGUAUCGUCUCUUGUUGUACAGUGAUGUUAGUUUGGAGGAGGUAUCGUCUCCUUG